GUCAGUGAAUGCUAUUCUGGAGAACUUGAAGACAGUUUAUUCUCAGCUCCAACAGUCUGCUUUGCAUUAUCAAUUUGUUAAGAAACUCUCUCUCUCUUUUUUUUUCGUGUAGAACUGUGCAAAAAGCAACUUCCAUCCAGACUGUCUGAAUUAUCCAAAAAUUCUGAACUGAUGGCAUCCAAAUGAAUAAGACUUUACAGAGCUGCACUGGGAGAAUUGAUUGGAUUUGUCAGUUUUCCUGUGGAUACGAAGUCCUGGGUGGCUUGACUCCCAAAGAACUGACCACCCGUGAGCUGGAAAACAGACCUCAAAGCAGGAAAGAAACAGAAGUGUCCAAAGAAGAUGUGGAAAACACAACCCAGAAAAAGCUGACCCUCAAGAAAGAAGUCCGGUGAGUGGAGUCGGGGGUAGAUUUCCUGAUGGUUUCUCAAGGCUGCCGGGGUCCUGCUUUCUGGGUGAGAAUGUGAUUGAAGACAAGCAUUGUCUAUUUUACAAAGUCCCAGAGAAUUUGGAUCCCAGAUGUGGUAGACGAUGCUCUUAGAUCUGGGGUUGCAAAGUCCACAUCUACCCAGACCGGGCAGGAAAUGUAAAUGACCGAGUGAACUGAGUGUAAGAUGAUACUAGACAGCUGACACUCAGUCCUGGGGGCUGUGAGGAGAUGGGGGGCUGUGAGGAGAUGGGGGACAGACCUCAAUUAAAGAGAGCAGCUGCUGACCCCUAGCCACUGGUUGCCUGUGGAAAGGUGGGUUCAGUGUUGACAAUUGUUCUGAGGUAUCAAAAGAAUCUCCAAUCCUUGAUUUUCAUGAGCAAUCUGCUUUCAAAAGGAUUGGCAUUGAAUGCACAGUUUUAAAGUCGUCCGAGGGCUUUCCCCUCUUUCUCAUUAAUAGGCCUCAUGAUGGCCGUGGACUCCCAAUUGUGGCCCUCCUUUUAAGACCCUUGGAGUAGCAGAGGGUGCUUAAUUCUACCCCUUCAUUCUACUUAUGCGGAAGAUGGACCCCGGGUUCAUCUUAAGUCACACACAACGGUGUCUGUGGCAGAGCUAGGAGAGGACUGGUUCUGAGUUCUGCCUCUCUUUCUUUCUCAACACAGAUUCCAGACCGGUGUCAGUUUCCAGAACUGAAGAGCUAUAUGUGCUGAGUGAGGACAUAUUAAGUUUCCUGCUUUCCAUGGAGAAAAGCAAAUGCUACCCUAGCCCUUAAUUAAGGAUGUUAUCAUUGGUGACAGUGAUGGUAAAUAUCAGAAGGAGUGCUUUGAGCAGCAAAUAACAGAAAAUUCUGAGUCAAAUCGACUUAAACAAUUCAUCAGAUUCUUACCUUUCAUGCCUGGAAAGUCAGAGGAAGGGUAUGCCCCAGGUCCAGUGAGA
rnacentral:lncRNA from 1 species